GGGCGCUCCGCGGCUGGCGGCUUCUGUGCCCGGCUGCGGGCGCCGGGGCUCUUGACUCGGGUUCUGUGAAUAAGGGCAAUGACGCGGCGCGUACCAGGAAGGGUUACUGCAGGUGUCAGUGUCUGGGACAUGCACAGUAGGCAGCCGGGUCCUUCUACUUCCCAGCACGGGAGACUGUGGCCACCCCGCCCGCCCACUCUGCAUCCUCUCCAAUCUAUGCACUCAGUAAAGGCCUGAAGUCUCUCCCUCAACUCCACAUCUGCAGGUUCAUGAACAGACUGGGGUGACACAGUAUGGGACAGGUAGAUGCCUUGCACGCAGCGGGACAUCCACUGCUUUUACAGCUCUGGCUCCGGGGAAAGACAGUACCACGUCUCUCAGAUUCACCAGCAUGUAAACAGCCCCGGUCAAGAGCAGCCAGGACCACGCGGCCUGGGCACACCAUGAGGAGGAGCUCAAGAGGCCAGGCAGGAGCGUCUCUUCCGGCACUGCCCACCUGGGCCACGUGCACAAGCGCUGUGUCCAACCUGAUGCACAGUUUGCAGCGUGCCACCGGUACCGCGUGGCAUUCCCAGGAGCACCGCGUGAGGGGAGCCACCUCUCCAUUCUCACUAACACUGGGUGCUGUCAGGGCUCAGUCUUUGCCAGUCUGACUCAUCCAAGGGAAAUUCUUUGCGCCUCUGUGAUCCACGGUGAGGUUGGACAUCGUUUCAUACUUACUGCCGUUUGUAUGUGUCUUCUGUGAACUGCACGCACUUGUUUUCGCCAGCCCAGGUGGUCUGCUGGCUCUGAUGGACCCAAGAAUGCAGACUGGACUGUCCGUCUUAGGCAGUGAGCACCUACUCUGAGCUCCGGCCUCUGCCCUCAGCAGCAGCCAGGAAAACAUACUAUGCUCAUGGAAAGGGAAGUGACAGUGCCAGCCUCUGAAUGCCAAGGGUCGAAGCUGUGACACAAUCAUCUCGCUCAGCCACCUCAGAGCCGGUCCUGCGCCAGGCUUCUCUCCAAGCCCUGGAGACAGAAGAACCCAACAGACACAUCUCCACCCCCGAGGCACACACAGGCUGGUAGGCAAGCAGAAUCUAAUGUGAGAGCUCUGAUAAUAGGGGCAGAUAUGAGGGGAUAUGAGAGCAAAUUAGGAUGGUCAAUUCUAUCUUUUUUGAUUAGUGAGAACAUGUAAUAAAACAUUACACAACUAUAGAGCUCCAAAAAGCGUAAGAUGUUUUUUACUGGAGGUAGCAUGAUGCCAUGAGAAGACUGCAUUUUGGCAAUCAGUGGGUUGGUUUCCCAGUUCAGUCACAUCAAACUGUGCAGCCGUGGGCAAUUUUCUUUUUCUUUUUUUCUUUUUUUUGACAGGCAGAGUGGACAGUGAGAGAGAGAGAUAGAGAGAAAGGUCUUCCUUUGCCGUUGGUUCACCCUCCAAUGGCCGCCGCGGCUGGCGCGCUGCGGCCAGCGCACCGCGCUGAUCCGAUGGCAGGAGCCAGGAGCCAGGUGCUUUUCCUGGUCUCCCAUGGGGUGCAGGGCCCAAGCACCUGGGCCAUCCUCCACUGCACUCCCUGGCCACAGCAGAGAGCUGGCCUGGAAGAGGGGCAACCGGGACAGAAUCCGGCGCCCCGACCGGGACUAGAACCCGGUGUGCUGGCGCCGCUAGGUGGAGGAUUAGCCUAGUGAGCCGCGGCGCCGGCCGCAAUUUUCUUAAUAAUAUCUUCUACAUAGGGUCACCAUGAGUUGCCAAAAAAAUUCAAAUAAAGUCAGGACCAACUUUAUUUGUGAGGCCUGGAAACCUACGUAUCAUCUGUAUAUAUAUGAGUUUAUGGUUUAAAUCAAGUUAGCUACAGAUCAAACGCAAUCCCUAGCCAAACUUGAGUUGCCUUCUUUUAAGAAAAUUGACAAGUGGAUGCUGAAAGUCAAACAGAAGUGCAAAGGACUUUAAAUAAUCAAGACAAUCAAGACAAAGAACAAAACUGGAGACUUGCACCUCCAAAUUCUAACUCUUAAUCAUGGAGAGACCCAAAAAUCAAGACAGCACAUAUCACUGUAUGGCUAGAUACGCAUGUGGACCCCACAACAGAUCCGAGAGGCCAGAAAGUAACCCUCACACUUACAGCCAACCGUGCCAAGACAACAAGAGUCCCAAGACAACAAGACAACUGAAAGGGGGAAGGAGUGGCCUUUUUGGUAAAUGGUGCUGAGACGCUGGACAUCCACACACACGUGAUGAUGCUGGACUCCUUCCUCUUGUAUAAAUAUAAAUGACCCCAAAAUGGAUCAUAGGCAUGAGCGUAAGAGCUAAAACCAUAAGCUCUCAUAGGAAGACACAAUCUUCACAGUCUAUAUUAGUGAUUCCUGAGAUUUGACACCAAAAGCACAAACAACUGAAAAGGGUAAAUAAAUUAGACUUCAGAAUGUGAAACUCUGGGCUGGGGUCGUGGCACAGUGGUCAGGCUGCUCGCAGCGCUCGGCACCCCACAUCACAGUGCCACUUUGAGUCCCGGCUGCACUUCUGACCCAGCUCCCUGCUCAUGCGCCUGGGGAAGCAGUGGAAGGUGCCCAAGUGCAUUAGCCCCUGCACCCAUGUGGGAGGCCCAGAUGGCGUUACGGGCUCCUGGUUUCGGCCUGGCCCAUUCCCAGCUGUUCUGGCCAUCUGGGGAGUGAAACAAAAGAUGACAGAUCUCUCUCUCCCUCUCUCUCUCUCUCUCAUGUCCCUCUGCCUUUUAAAGUAAAUAAAAUAAAAUCUUAAAAAUUUAAAACUUUUGUGCGUCAAUGGACACUGUCAUAAAUGUGAAAGACAGUCCAUAGAAUAUGAGAAAAUAUUUGCAAAUCAUACAUCUAGUGAUGGACUUGUACACAAAGUAUAUGAAGAACCCUUAUAACUCAAUAACACACCAAACUAGAAAUUGUUAAGUAAAACACGUUCCAUUUUCUUUAAUAGUUUUAACUUCAUAAAGACAAAAAGAAAAAUUUGUGUAAAGAGCAAUUUUCUGUGAUUCUAAGUUGGUAAAAUAUUUAUAACAAAAUUUAAUAAGCACUUAUUGGCAAAUAACAGACAUAUAAUUCAGAAAAUAUAUUUCAUAAAACUCA